rnacentral:tRNA from 1 species
GGCUUCGUGGAGAAAUUGGUAGACUUGCCACCUUGAGGUGGUGGUGUUCGAAAGAACGUGUGGGUUCGAAUCCCAUCGAAGUCA